GAAACAUCAACACGCCACACCCUGGAGAUUUGAUGUACUGAAGCUUCGGGCUGGCCAGUAUUCAGUUCCACUGGAGAACUGACUGUGUCACAUGCAAUGAUUCCUCCAGUGUCAUCUUCCCCUCACACUCUGGGCUUCCUGUGGGCAGGAAUAAACCCCUUCUUAGCCAUUUCUCCAGCCUUGUAGAGUCUCUGAGCAUUAAGCUGACUCAGUCAUUGUGGUUUGAUGAAUCCAAGUGAAAAAGGAAAUCAAGUAUGGUAGAUAUUGAAACAAAAUACUAUUGGUUUGUAUACUAUUGGCUAGCCAUACUGGAUGGCUAAUGACAAUUCUAUUCCCCUUUCCUCGGUUCUAGGUAAGAACAUCAAGAAUCUUACAAGAUGCCUGGCACAUGAUAAAUAUUCAAAAGUAUUUAUUGCUUGGUAGUCCUUUUUCUACUAAUUCAUGCUAAAGUGUAAGCAUUCAGAACUCAGAAUGGAUCUCUGACUUGGUGUUUCAGGAGGCAAACUGAGGUCCAGAGGAACUGAGUGGCUUUCUUCAUUUCCCUCCACCACGAGUAACAACAUGUAAAGACGGGAAUCUCUCCCUUUCCACUGUCAACCCAAUGCUUUUUCUGUUACUUUUUAUUCCCACUGUUGUAAAUUAACUAAGAGUAAAGAAUACUUGCAACUCUCCAGAGCCAUUGUCUGUACCUUCUGUCUCAUUAAAUAAAUCUGAGAGAUUUUGAUCCAUGGAUUUGUCAUCAGCAAUGCGGUUCUGACAACACCCAUCAUAAAGCCAGAGAGAGUUGUCUGUGUCUCAAG